GAAGGUAGCAUAAUAAAUUGUCUUUUAAUUGAAGGCUUGGAUGAAAGAAUUGACGAAAUAUAAUCUGUCUAUUAUUUAUUAAAUUUAAUUUAAAAUUUUAGUUAAAAUACUAAAAUUAUUUUAAAAGACGAGAAGACCCUAUAGAAUUUUAUUAUUAAAAUUUUUAUUGAUAAUUUAAUUUUAUUAUUAAAAAUAAUUUUAAUAAUUUAAUUGGGAGGAUUUUUAUAUUUAAUUAACUUUAAAAUUAUAUAAACAUUAAUUUAUGAUUUGAAGAAUUUUUAUUAAAGAAAAUAGAUAAAUUACCUUAGGGAUAACAGCGUAAUAUUUUUGGAGAGAUCAUAUUAAAAAAAAUGUUUGCGACCUCGAUGUUGAAUUAAGAUUAAAAUUAAAUGCAGGAGUUUAAUGUUUAGGUCUGUUCGACCUUUAAAAUCUUACA
rnacentral:rRNA from 1 species